AUUGAACGCUGGCGGCAUGCCUUACACAUGCAAGUCGAACGGUAACAGGCCGCAAGGUGCUGACGAGUGGCGAACGGGUGAGUAAUGCAUCGGAACGUGCCCAGUCGUGGGGGAUAACUGCUCGAAAGAGCAGCUAAUACCGCAUACGACCUGAGGGUGAAAGCGGGGGACCGUAAGGCCUCGCGCGAUUGGAGCGGCCGAUGUCAGAUUAGCUAGUUGGUGGGGUAAAGGCCUACCAAGGCAACGAUCUGUAGUUGGUCUGAGAGGACGACCAGCCACACUGGGACUGAGACACGGCCCAGACUCCUACGGGAGGCAGCAGUGGGGAAUUUUGGACAAUGGGCGCAAGCCUGAUUCAGCAAUGCCGCGUGCAGGAAGAAGGCCUUCGGGUUGUAAACUGCUUUUGUCAGGGAAGAAAUCUUCUGGACUAAUACCCCGGGAGGAUGACGGUACCUGAAGAAUAAGCACCGGCUAACUACGUGCCAGCAGCCGCCGUAAGAC
rnacentral:rRNA from 1 species